UGGGAUGUAGCUCAGUGGGUAGAAUGUUUGUCUAGCAUGCACAAAGCUCUGGGUUCUAUUCCCAGCAUCUCAU
rnacentral:tRNA from 1 species